rnacentral:rRNA from 1 species
AGAGUUUGAUCACUGGCCUCAGGACGAACGCUGGCGGCGUGCUUAACACAUGCAAGUCGAGCGAUGAAACACCUUCGGGUGUGAAUUAGCGGCGAACGGGUGAGGAACACGUGAGAAAUCUGCCUUCAACACUGGGAUAACUCCGGGAAACCGGGGCUAAUACCGGAUAUGAAAUCUGCGGGCAUCCGCGGAUUUGGAAAGUUUUUCGGUUGAAGAUGAUCUCGCGGCCUAUCAGCUUGUUGGUGAGGUAAUGGCUCACCAAGGCGACGACGGGUAGCCGGCCUGAGAGGGCGACCGGCCACACUGGGACUGAGACACGGCCCAGACUCCUACGGGAGGCAGCAGUGGGGAAUAUUGGGCAAUGGAGGAAACUCUGACCCAGCGACGCCGCGUGCGGGAUGAAGGCCUUCGGGUUGUAAACCGCUUUCAGCAGGGAAGAAGCGAAAGUGACGGUACCUGCAGAAGAAGCACCGGCUAACUAUGUGCCAGCAGCCGCGGUAAUACAUAGGGUGCAAGCGUUGUCCGGAAUUAUUGGGCGUAAAGAGCUCGUAGGUGGUUCGUCACGUCGGAUGUGAAAAUCUGGGGCUUAACCCCAGACCUGCAUUCGAUACGGGCGAGCUUGAGUAUGGUAGGGGAGUCUGGAAUUCCUGGUGUAGCGGUGGAAUGCGCAGAUAUCAGGAGGAACACCAAUGGCGAAGGCAGGACUCUGGGCCAUUACUGACACUGAGGAGCGAAAGCGUGGGGAGCGAACAGGAUUAGAUACCCUGGUAGUCCACGCCGUAAACGGUGGGCACUAGUUGUGGGGACCUUCCACGGUCUCUGCGACGCAGCUAACGCAUUAAGUGCCCCGCCUGGGGAGUACGAUCGCAAGAUUAAAACUCAAAGGAAUUGACGGGGCCCCGCACAAGCAGCGGAGC